rnacentral:rRNA from 1 species
UCCACCUGAUCCCAUGCCGAACUCAGAAGUGAAACGCAGUUGCGCCGAUGGUAGUGUGGGGUCUCCCCAUGUGAGAGUAGGGCAUCGCCAGGC